CGCUGUCUUGUAUGAGUUACAUGCUUCUUAUACUUUACCAGUGUAAUUAUUCUCUUUCUUGCAUUUUUUCUGUCAUUUGUUUAACGGGCUUUCCUACUGCUUAUCCAGAUUCAUUUGACUUUGGAUUUAUUAACUUGCAAAAUAAAGAAUCUUUUUGGCAUUAAGCAAAGUGUGGAGAGGUAUCUCUGUCCUUUACUCGCAUCGUUUUUCGACGCUUUCUUUUCUACACAGUUGCGAUCUCUGUGUAUAUACCUGAUCACGAUUUUUUACUGUAUUAAUUGAGAUACUAAAAGUGUUAAAAUUCAAAAUUUUUCAAUCAGUCCUUCAUAAAUCUGCAACGAUGAAUACAGUAAUGUAUCUAUUUUUGUUGGUUGCCAUUUUUGCGACUGUCUCGAUCUUUGAUGUUAUGGCUGAGUCAUCAGUUACAGCGGAUUCUACUUCGCAAUCUCAGCGAAAUGUAAUAACCAGAAGAUUACGUCCCACCAAAUCUACAAAACAACCAAAGAAUAAUAAAAUGUUUAACUGUAGAUGUAACUGUUAAGAUAGGGUUUAACAUUACAGGAUUUAUUAAAGAAUUCUUAAAGCUACAAGAAAGUGUGAGUAUAUAAGACUACACAAUCCACUUAAGAUGAAUUAUGGCAUGAAAAGGUUAUAUGAUUAUGGCACAAUAUAUUUAACAGAAUUUUCAGUUAUUACAAGUAUUUUAUGGCAAUUUAUCUAUGAUAUUGUAAAAAAUUGUUCGUGUCAAAUAAUGUUGUUGAUGUCGAUUUCUAUUAUAUAAAAAAUAUAUAACAUGUAAUAAUAUUAUUCCAUUAUUAUAUGCAUGAUACCAUGUGAAUGCAACAAAUUUUCAUUUCUUCCACAAAAUAUUAAUGAAAAUA